rnacentral:tRNA from 5 species
AUGCUUUAGUUAAGCUACGCUAGC